AGCUCCAAUAGCGUAUAUUAAAGUUGUUGCGGUUAAAAAGCUCGUAGUUGGAUUUCUGCUGAGUACGACCGGUCCACCCUCUGGGUGAGCAUCUGGCUCGGACUUGGCAUCUUCUUGGGGAACGUUGCUGCACUUGAUUGUGCGGCGCGGUACCCAGGACUUUUACUUGAGGAAAUUAGAGUGUUUCAAGCAGGCACACGCCUUGAAUAUAUUAGCAUGGAAUAAUAAGAUAGGUCUUCGGUUCUAUUUUGUUGGUUUCUAGAGCUGAAGAAAUGAUUAAUAGGGAUAGUUGGGGGCAUUCGUAUUUAACUGUCAGAGGUGAAAUUCUU
rnacentral:rRNA from 1 species